UUGACUCAUCUCCGCUCGUUCCAGUUCACACCACGCCUCCACUAAUCCAUCCUCUCGGCCUCUCCUCGCACCGUUCCCAGGCACGCAGCGCUCGCCCUAGCCGACACGCAGGCACGCAGCGCCGCCGGAGGCCGAUGUCAACCGUCGGAGGCGACCCUGGCGGCGACGCCCCAUCCCCCACGUCGGCCGCGCCCGGCCUCCCGCGAGCCCCUCCUCUUCCGCUCGGAGGGAGCAGCAGCCGAGCAGGAACGAGCAACACUGGCGGCGGCCCCCCGCCACCCGCGCCGGCGGUGCCCGGCCCCGCACCCGCCCCUCCUCUUCGGCUCAGAGGGAUCAGCAGCCGGGCAGGGACGGGCAACCCUGUCGGCGGCGCCCCGCCCCCCGUGGCACAGAAACAGAAGAUGAAGAGAAGUGGAAUUUUUGGCAGUAGCAUAUUUGCAAUGUGGGAAAAGGCUUCAAAGGCAAGGAAAAUAAACGAAGUAUCCACGCCGAAUCAGACAGUAGCUACAUCUUGUACUUGUACUUCUCCUGUUCAUCUUGAGAGCAAUUUGCAGUUGUGCUUGUGGAGACAAACAAGCAUGAAUAAUAUCAUAUUGUUUACAAGCUUCUUAAGUUGGUAUUGAUUCUGCUAGUAGCUACUGCUAGUGUUGAAAGGGUAUUCUCUUCAAUGAGCCAUGUGAAGAAUAAGCUAAGGAGCAAAAUGGGUGAUGAAUAUUUGAACAAUUGUUUGGUUACAUUUGUUGAGAGAGAACUUUUCAAUCAAGUGAAGGAUGAAGAUGUCAUCAAUCUCUUUCAAAAAGGCGACCGCAAAGUUAUAUUGUAAGAAGGAUAACAUCACUUUAUCAAUCAAAAGGUCCGUAACCGAUCACACUUCCUUGGUGUUUCACCAGGUAUAAGGUUUCGACUCAUAUUACCCUUCUCCAGGUGUUGUACCUCAUACUCAUGGCAACAUAUCCUGAUUGCUCAUUACUUAUGUGGUGCCAUUCUAAUUGAUUUAAUUCAGUAACCUACAUGUUUGAGGUGAGGUGCCUGCAGUUGUUUAAAUUUGAUAAUGCCACUAUCAUCUGGGUUAUUAAUUUCCUUAAGCAAGUUCUUUGGACACUAUUACAA